rnacentral:rRNA from 1 species
AACCUCCGCAAUGUACGAAAGUGCGACGGGGGGAUCCCAAGUGUUAUGCUUUUUUGUAUGACUUUUCAUUAGUGUAAAAAGCUUUUAGAAUAAGAGCUGGGCAAGACCGGUGCCAGCCGCCGCGGUAACACCGGCAGCUCGAGUGGUAGCUGUUUUUAUUGGGCCUAAAGCGUUCGUAGCCGGUUUAAUAAGUCUUUGGUGAAAGCUUGUAGCUUAACUAUAAGAAUUGCUGGAGAUACUAUUAGACUUGAAGUCGGGAGAGGUUAGAGGUACUACCGGGGUAGGGGUGAAAUCCUAUAAUCCUGGGAGGACCACCUGUGGCGAAGGCGUCUAACUGGAACGAUCUUGACGGUGAGUAACGAAAGCCAGGGGCGCGAACCGGAUUAGAUACCCGGGUAGUCCUGGCCGUAAACGAUGUGGACUUGGUGUUGGAAUGGCUUUGAGUUGUUCCGGUGCCGAAGGGAAGCUGUUAAGUCCACCGCCUGGGAAGUACGGUCGCAAGAUUGAAACUUAAAGGAAUU